rnacentral:rRNA from 1 species
GAACGCUGGCGGCGUGCUAAUACAUGCAGUCGAACGAGAGCGACGGUGCUUGCACUGGUCAAUCUAGUGGCGAACGGGUGAGUAACACGUGGGUAACCUGCCCAUCAGAGGGGGAUAACAUUCGGAAACGGAUGCUAAAACCGCAUAGGUCUUCGAACCGCAUGGUUUGAAGAGGAAAGGAGGCGCAAGCUUCUGCUGAUGGAUGGACCCGCGGUGCAUUAGCUAGUUGGUGAGGUAACGGCUCACCAAGGCAGUGAUGCAUAGCCGACCUGAGAGGGUGAUCGGCCACAUUGGGACUGAGACACGGCCCAAACUCCUACGGGAGGCAGCAGUAGGGAAUCUUCCGCAAUGGACGCAAGUCUGACGGAGCAACGCCGCGUGAGUGAAGAAGGUUUUCGGAUCGUAAAACUCUGUUGUUAGAGAAGAACAAGUGCUAGAGUAACUGUUAGCGCCUUGACGGUAUCUAACCAGAAAGCCACGGCUAACUACGUGCCAGCAGCCGCGGUAAUACGUAGGUGGCAAGCGUUGUCCGGAUUUAUUGGGCGUAAAGCGAGCGCAGGCGGUUCCUUAAGUCUGAUGUGAAAGCCCCCGGCUCAACCGGGGAGGGUCAUUGGAAACUGGGGAACUCGGGUGCAGAAGAGGAGAGUGGAAUUCCAUGUGUAGCGGUGAAACGCGUAGAUAUAUGGAGGAACACCAGUGGCGAAGGCGACUCUCUGGUCUGUAACUGACGCUGAGGCUCGAAAGCGUGGGUAGCAAACAGGAUUAGAUACCCUGGUAGUCCACGCCGUAAACGAUGAGUGCUAAGUGUUGGAGGGUUUCCGCCCUUCAGUGCUGCAGUUAACGCAUUAAGCACUC